UAAUAUUACUUUAAUUGGGUUUGUAAAUUAAGGACUUUGUUGUUAUUUUGUUUAGGUUAAUUUAUAAAAGUAUUAAUUAGAUGAGUUAAAGUUUUAUUCUGGCUUGAAAAAUUUAUUGUUACAUUAAUUUAUAUACUUAUAGGUGUUUAAUUUAAUUAAUCUAGAUGGUUUUUGAAUAAUAGUUAUUGUAAUAUUUUGUAUUAGUUAUGAGGGAUACUUUGAUCUAGUAAUUGUUUAUAAUUGUUGAUAAAGUAUGUGCCAGCAGUCGCGGUUAGACAUUGAAUAUGAAUAAAUUUUGUUGGUUGUGUAGAUUAUAUUUAUGUAUAUGAUAUAGAAUGGGAUUAUUGGGUGGAAUUGAUAAUUUUAUUGUAAUGAUUUAUUUAAUUAUGAUGCUGCGAGAUCAAAUAUAUAAACUAGGAUUAGAUACCCUAUUAUUUUUGAUUUAAAUUGAUUGGGAAUCAAGGUAGUAGUAGGUAUGGGCUUGAAACUUAAAGAAUUUGGCGGUAUUUUAGUCUAUUUAGAGGAAUCUGUUCAGUAAUUGAUAGUCCGCGUUGAACCUUACUUAUUUUGUGUUUGUAUACCGUCGUUGUUGAGAAUCUUUUUAGGGUUAAAUUUUCUUAAUAUUUGAUUGGGAUAAUAUUUCAGAUCAAGGUGCAGUUUAUAGAUAAGUUGAAAUGGAUUACAUUAUUAUUUAUAUGUGGAUAAAUUGUUGUAAUAUAGUGGUUGAGAAUGGAUUUAAUAGUAAUGAUUUGAAUAUUGUUAUUGUGAAAUUAGCUCUGGAAUAUGUACACAUCGCCCGUCGCUCUCGUUAAGUUAAGAUGAGAUAAGUCGUAACAUAGUAGGUGUACCGGAAGGUGUAGCUAGAUUGG
rnacentral:ncRNA from 1 species